GCUCGGCAGCUUAGUUGGCAAAGCGCUCGUCUAGCAUACAAGAGUCGUGGGUUCAAAUCCCAGCCGAGCA
rnacentral:tRNA from 1 species